rnacentral:lncRNA from 1 species
UCAGUAUCAUCUUACAAACGUAUUUGUUUUAAUCGUUACACCAACCGUAUAAAACCAUCCAACUUGUUUAUUUUAAAAAUGAGUGUUAUAACCAACCAAGCGAACAUACAUUACUCAUGCAUAAUAGUAUACUAGAUUUUGACACGCGCUUUCAAAGCGCGGGUUUUUUUUUGUUUUUUUUUUUAAUUGACAAAUAUUUAGUAAAUGUCACAUUUUCAUAUAUUUGUGCUUUAUUUUAUAAAAGACUUAAAAUUUUUAUCUUUAUUUAUCGUAUUUCAUUUUAAAUGACUAUUUAUGUUUAAAAAAUUAAACUAUUUUUUUUAAUAAAUUAAGUUGGUAUAACUUUGAUAAAUUAAU